AUAAACUAGUACCUAAAAACAAGAAAACAAAACAAGGUCAGAAUCUGGAAUUAAUUAGAACAAAACAAAACAAAAUAACAGAUCCAAGGGAUUAGCAACUUUGCUAAUCCCCGGCAACGGCGCCAAAAAUUUGAUGCGAAAUAUAUAAGCACACAAAUUAAACCCACUUUUUAUCAAUUGUAGCAAAGUAUGUAAGUAGGGAUCGUUUUAGGUCGGGGAUUAGGAGGCAUUGCUAAAACACUUAAAACUGACUUAAAAACGUAAAACAAAGUUUAAAACACUAAACUAGACUCAAAGAAUGCAAAACUAAACUCUAAAACACUAAAACAACUCAAAAGACUCAAAACAGCACAAAAACACUCAAAUCUGCCUAAAAACACAAACUGGGCAGAUUUGAACUCUAACACUCCUUUGGACGAAUUUUUGGGUUUUCUUGACUCAAAACACUUAAAAACACACUCUAAAACAUAUUCUAACUAGUUAGACACUCUAAA
rnacentral:lncRNA from 1 species